rnacentral:rRNA from 1 species
AUUGAACGCUGGCGGCAUGCCUUACACAUGCAAGUCGAACGGCAGCGGGGGAGAAGCUUGCUUUUCCUGCCGGCGAGUGGCGAACGGGUGAGUAAUACAUCGGAACGUGCCCUGUAGUGGGGGAUAACUAGUCGAAAGAUUAGCUAAUACCGCAUACGACCUGAGGGUGAAAGUGGGGGACCGCAAGGCCUCAUGCUAUAGGAGCGGCCGAUGUCUGAUUAGCUAGUUGGUGGGGUAAAGGCCUACCAAGGCGACGAUCAGUAGCUGGUCUGAGAGGACGAUCAGCCACACUGGGACUGAGAAACGGCCCAGACUCCUGCGGGAGGCAGCAGUGGGGAAUUUUGGACAAUGGGUGAAAGCCUGAUCCAGCAAUGCCGCGUGUGUGAAGAAGGCCUUCGGGUUGUAAAGCACUUUUGUCCGGAAAGAAAUGGCUCUGGUUAAUACCUGGGGUCGAUGACGGUACCGGAAGAAUAAGGACCGGCUAACUACGUGCCAGCCGCCGCAGUAA